rnacentral:rRNA from 1 species
UGGGGAAUCUUGCACAAUGGGGGCAACCCUGAUGCAGCGACGCCGCGUGAGCGAUGAAGCCCUUCGGGGCGUAAAGCUCUUUCGACCGGAACGAUAAUGACGGUACCGGGAGAAGAAGCUGCGGCUAACUACGUGCCAGCAGCCGCGGUAAUACGUAGGCAGCAAGCGUUGUUCGGAGUUACUGGGCGUAAAGAGUGCGUAGGCGGUUUUCUAAGUUCGGUGUGAAAUCUCCCGGCUUAACUGGGAGGGUGCGCCGAAGACUGGGAAGCUGGAGUGUGGGAAAGGCAGGCGGAAUUCCUGGUGUAGCGGUGAAAUGCGUAGAUAUCAGGAGGAACACCGGCGGUGUAGACGGCUUGCUAAACCAUAACUGACGCUGAGGCACGGAAGCGUGGGUAGCAAACA